rnacentral:rRNA from 1 species
CUCAGAUUGAACGCUGGCGGCAGGCUUAACACAUGCAAGUCGAGCGGAAACGACAACAUUGAAUCUUCGGAGGAUUUGUUGGGCGUCGAGCGGCGGACGGGUGAGUAAUGCCUAGGAAAUUGCCUUGAUGUGGGGGAUAACCAUUGGAAACGAUGGCUAAUACCGCAUAAUGCCUACGGGCCAAAGAGGGGGACCUUCGGGCCUCUCGCGUCAAGAUAUGCCUAGGUGGGAUUAGCUAGUUGGUGAGGUAAUGGCUCACCAAGGCGACGAUCCCUAGCUGGUCUGAGAGGAUGAUCAGCCACACUGGAACUGAGACACGGUCCAGACUCCUACGGGAGGCAGCAGUGGGGAAUAUUGCACAAUGGGGGAAACCCUGAUGCAGCCAUGCCGCGUGUGUGAAGAAGGCUUUCGGGUUGUAAAGCACUUUCAGCGAGGAGGAAAGGGUGUUGCUUAAUACGUAACAUCUGUGACGUUACUCGCAAUG